rnacentral:rRNA from 1 species
UACGAAGGGGGCUAGCGUUGUUCGGAUUUACUGGGCGUAAAGGGCGCGUAGGCGGGUUCUCCAGUCAGGGGUGAAAUCGUUCGGCUUAACCGGACAAGUGCCUCUGAUACUGAGAGUCUCGAGGGAGGUAGGGGCAUGUGGAACUUCCGGUGGAGCGGUGAAAUGCGUAGAUAUCGGAAGGAACGCCGGUGGCGAAAGCGACGUGCUGGACCUCUUCUGACGCUGAGGCGCGAAAGCCAGGGGAGCAAACGGG